CACAGCUGCGGUGCGAUCUGCAGGAGUCCCCGGUGGGCUCUGCCAUGCCGACCCGGGCAGAGGACUACGACGUGCUGCACACCAUUGGCAUCGGCUCCUAUGGCCGCUGCCAGAAGAUCCGGAGGAAGAGCGAUGGCAAGAUAUUAGUUUGGAAAGAACUUGACUAUGGCUCCAAGACAGAAGCUGAGAAACAAAUGCUUGUUUCUGAAGUGAAUUUGCUUCGUGAACUGAAGCAUCCAAACAUCGUCCGUUACUAUGAUCGCAUUAUUGACCGAACCAACACAACACUGUACAUUGUAAUGGAAUAUUGCGAAGGAGGGGACCUGGCUAGUAUAAUUACAAAGGGAACCAAGGAAAGACAAUACUUGGAGGAAGAGUUUGUUCUUCGAGUGAUGGCUCAGUUGACUCUGGCCCUAAAGGAAUGUCACAGACGAAGUGAUGGUGGUCAUACGGUGCUCCAUGGGGAUCUGAAACCAGCCAAUGUUUUCCUGGAUGGCAAGCAAAACGUUAAGCUUGGAGACUUCGGGCUAGCUAGAAUAUUAAACCAGGAUACCAGUUUUGCAAAAACAUUUGUUGGCACUCCUUAUUACAUGUCUCCUGAGCAGAUGAGUCGCAUAUCCUACAAUGAGAAAUCGGAUAUCUGGUCACUGGGCUGUUUGAUAUAUGAGUUGUGUGCAUUAAUGCCUCCAUUUACAGCUUCCAACCAGAAAGAAUUAGCUGGGAAGAUCCGAGAAGGCAAAUUCAGGCGAAUUCCAUAUUGUUACUCUGAUGAGUUGAAUGACAUCAUUACAAGGAUGUUAAAUUUAAAGGACUACCAUCGACCCUCUGUUGAAGAAAUUCUGGAGAGCCCUUUGAUAGCAGACUUGGUUGCAGAAGAGCAGAGGAGAAAUCCUGAGAGAAGGGGGCGACAAUCUGGAGAACCAGAAAAGUUGCAGGAUUCUAACACUGUAUUAAGUGAGCUGAAACUGAAGGAAAUACAGUUGCAGGAGCGAGAGCGAGCCCUCAAAGCCAGAGAGGAAAGACUGGAGCAGAAGGAACGUGAGCUUUGUGUUCGUGAGAGACUGGCGGAGGACAAAUUGGCGAGAGCGGAAAGUCUGAUGAAGAACUACAGCCUGCUGAAGGAGCAGAGGCUCCUGUCCCUGGCCAGUGGUCGAGAACUGUUAGCUCUUCCAUCCUCAAUACUUAAGAAGAAAGUUCAUUUCAGUGGAGAGAGUAAGGAGAGUGUCCGGAGGAGUGAGAACUCUGAGAGCCAGCUCUCCUCCAAAGCCAAGUGCAAAGACCUGAAGAAGAAGCUCCAUGCUGCCCAGCUGCGCACGCAAGCCCUGGCGGACAUUGAGCAAACGUACCAGCUGAAAAGCAGACAGAUCCUGGGCAUGCGCUAGCCAGCAGGGCCCGGCGCUGUGUGCGGGAUCUGACAUGGCCAGCCCCCGAAGGACUGAUUGAUGUUCAACUGCUGCAGCUUGAUAUACUUGGUUCCAUGAGCCGUGCCUUUCUGUACAGUAAGAGUGAUAUUUUGGAAUUGCCUUUGCUG